rnacentral:rRNA from 1 species
GUCGAACGUUGUUUUCCGCGAAAGGCCCUAACAGGGACGGGAGGUGGAGUUGAGAACAAAGUGGC